UUCAGGGUUGGAGAAAGGGGAGGGUGGAGGACUAGUGAUCUGAUUGGCUGCCACAAAGAGGCCUCUGCUCUUUUGCUGAGAUCAACCUGGGGAGCAGCAAGUGGUAUUCUAGCCAGCAAAGUCUCUUGAAGGGGCCACUAAAGUCAGUGACUGUGGCUACCACGUGGGAAGAAGAAAAGAUGUCCCUGAAGCUUUUCGUGCAGAUUGUCUGGAUUCAAAUGGCAUGGCUGAGCACUCAGCAGCUGGGGCAGAUUCCUCUGUUUCUGAGCACCCGGGAGGGAGAAGAUGUCACUGUGUACUGCAACUCCUCGAGCGUGUUCACUACCUUUCAGUGGUACAAACAGGAGCCUGGGAAAGGGCCUGUCCUCCUGAUGAUGAUGGCCAAGGGCGGAGAAGUGAAGAAAGAGAAGAGACUGACUGUUCAAUUUGGUGAUACAAGGAAGUACAGUUCCUUGCACAUCACUGCGACCCAGCCUGGGGAUGAAGGCAACUACAUCUGUGCAGGAGCACAGUGCUCUCAGGGCACCUGCUGCCUGUACCCAAACCCCACUGCAGGCCCCACUCACACUACUGCCACCUGCUUCCAGCCUCUCCCCAACACACCUCUUGGCAUGAACAAUGGCAGCAAGUUCAGCCCUUCAUGAAGGCUGCCUUUCUGGACAUUUCCCACAUUCUCUGCAGAACAAGACCCAUCUACUAUAAGACAAGUCUCUGGAAAUGUGGCUCACUCCAAAUCAGAAGCAACUUGGGCAGACAGCUUCCAAGGGUAGGUAAUGAGCUGGAGUAGGGAGUCAACAUUCAAGGACAAAUGAAAGAUACCAGACAGAGUAUACCAUAGUUCUGCUUGGUCACUCCAUAUUCCUAAAGACCAAAGCCAGGGGGCCAGCGCUGUGGCUCACUUGGUUAAUCCUCUGCCUAUGGCGCCAGCAUCCCAUAGGGGUGUCAGUUCUAGUCCCGGUUGCUCCUCUUCCAAUCCAGCUCUCUGCUGUGGCCCGGGAAGGCAGUGGAGGAUGGCCCAAGUGCUUGGGCCCCUGCACCUGCAUGGGAGACCAGGAAGAAGCACCUGGCUCCUGGCUUCGGAUUAGCAUAGCGGCCAUUUGGGGGGUGAACUAAUGAAAGGAAGACCUUUCUCUGUCUCUCUCUCUCUGUCUCACUCUCUAACUCUAUCUGUCAAAUAAAUUUUAAAAACAACAACAAUAAAGACCAAAGCCAGAAUGAAUAGUUCACACAAUGGGAUAGAAACAGAUGGUUUCACAGUUUGAUUCUAGUAUUCUGGACAUGACAGAACUUCUGUGUAUUAAGCUGUAGUAAAAAGCAGAAGUAAACCAAAAAUAAUUAGAAGUAAGUUACGGUUUUUGUUUAAGAGAUGCCCAAAGUGUACUUCAAUAUAAUCUAGUUGUGAUUCCAAAACAGUUUCCUUCAUUGGUGGCUCUGAGAGUCCCUAAACAUUAACUAUAGGGGCCUACAGCUGCACAGGGUUUGUUUGUGCCUUUGGCUUUGAAUGGCAGCUUCCAGUAACUUCAAGUUUCCAAGGCUGAGCUGAAGAAGAUAGAAGUUACCCGUUUCCUCCACAUGGCACUGUUCCAUUUAUGUACCAGAAGAAUUUCUAUUCUGUAAGGCAAGAUAAUAGGUAGUGCAAAGCACAAAACCCAAGUUAAAAUUCUAUCUUUAAAUCUUUCCAACUUUGGAACUGGCAUUAUGACACAGUGGAUUAAAUUGUUGCCUGCAACUGACCUGGCCUAUCCCUGGUCUUUGUGGCCAUUUGUAGGGUAAACCAGCAUUUGGAAGAUCCCUUUCUCUCUGUUUCUCCAAUUCUCUGUCACUCCACCUUUCAAAUUAAUAGAUCAUUUUUAAAAAAGCUUUUUAGCUUUAUGUGCUUAGGCUAUUAUUUUCCUUACCUACUUUACCUUAUAAAUGAAUGUUAGGAGCCAGCCCUGUGGAGCAGCAGGUUAAAGCUCCGUCCUGCAGCGCCAGCAUCCCAUGUGGAUGUCAGUUCUAGUCCCGGAUGUUCCACUUCAAUCUGGCUACCUGCUAAUGCACCUGGGAAAGCGAGGAGGUUGGCCCAAGUCCUUGGGUCCCUGCACCCAUGUAGAAGACCUGGAAGAAGCUCCUGGCUCCUGGCUUUGGAUUAACUUAGCUCCAGCCAUUGCGACUAUUUGGGGAGUGAACCAGCAGAUCGAAGAUCUCUUUCUCUGUGUCUCUACCUCUUUAUAACUCUUUCAAAUAAAUAAAUGCCAACAAGAAUAGCUAUCUAUCUUGUUGAGA